rnacentral:lncRNA from 1 species
UGGGUUUGGUGUCUCUCAGGUGGGUUUGGUGUCUCUCAGGUGGGUUUUGGUGUCUCUCAGGUGAAUUUUGGUGUCUCUCAGGUGGUUUUGGUGUCUCUCAGGUGGGUUUUUGGGUCUCCCAGGUGUCUCUCAGGUGCACCGGUUGGUUACUGGCUGGUUACUGGUUGGUUAGUGGUUGGUUAGUGGUUGGUUACCGUGGUUAGUGGUUGGUUAGCGGUUGGUUAGCGGUUGGUUAGUGGGUUGGUUAGUGGGUUGGUUACCGUGGUUAGUGGUUGGUUAGUGGUUGGUUAGCGGUUGGUUAGCGGUUGGUUAGUGGUCGGUUAGUGGGCCCCGGGCAGCGGUCGCUGGGGUCGCUUCCCGCGGUCACCGGGUCCCUCCAGCCGGUUGACGCCU